rnacentral:ncRNA from 2 species
UUGCGGCCGCAGGGGUGCCUGAUAUAAGGCUGAGAUCAUACCCUUUGAACCUGAUACGGGUAAUGCCGGCGCAGGGAAAUGAGCUCACCUUUUAUU